rfam:Devosia psychrophila strain Cr7-05 contig105, whole genome shotgun sequence.
AGUGAUUUCGCCUAGGCGGAGCUCGCCCCCCCAGUGAAGCGAUGAACGCCCUUAUCGACGAGCAUCGUGGCAUUAUCGGGUCGAGGCGAUCUGCACGGUCCUGCCAAUCACCCCA